GCAUUUUCAUAUCUUUUUUCUUUUCUUAUGUCCUAAAUCAAAAAUUGAAAUUGUUCAAACUAGGGACUGUAGUUCUAUUUGUUUCACUUGCAGAGGUUAGGAAAAUAUUUCAAUUUGGAGCAUGUUUUACCUUGGCUGUGUCACAGUUUACUUGGGACACCCUCUGGACUCUGCAGGCUUUUCAUCAUUUUGAUGGCUUGCUUUGUGUUUUUAUAAUUCAUAUGCAUGGGAUUGGGAUGAAAUGAAGGAGUUACUUGAACUUUUUUCUUCCCAGUUUUCCAUGGAUUGCAAAAGCCCUAUGGCACAGAAUCCUCAUUUUUUCUUUUUCAUUUUUGUUAUGAAUUUAUACUCAUGUGGUGAUAACUG
rnacentral:misc_RNA from 1 species